rnacentral:rRNA from 1 species
GCAAGUCGAGGGGUAACAGGGAUAGCUUGCUAUCUGCUGACGACCGGCGCACGGGUGCGGAACGCGUAUGGAACCUGCCCCUGUCAGGGGAAUAGCCCAGAGAAAUUUGGAUUAAUGCCCCAUGGUAUCGAAUUACCGCAUGGUAAUUUGAUUAAAGAUUUAUCGGACAGGGAUGGCCAUGCGUACCAUUAGCUAGUUGGUAAGGUAACGGCUUACCAAGGCAACGAUGGUUAGGGGCCCUGAGAGGGGGAUCCCCCACACUGGUACUGAGACACGGACCAGACUCCUACGGGAGGCAGCAGUGAGGAAUAUUGGACAAUGGCCGAAAGGUUGAUCCAGCCAUGCCGCGUGCAGGAUGACGGCCCUAUGGGUUGUAAACUGCUUUUACACGGGAAGAAACCUCCCCUCGUGAGGGGAGCUGACGGUACCGUGAGAAUAAGGACCGGCUAACUCCGUGCCAGCAGCCGCGGUAAUACGGAGGGUCCGAGCGUUAUCCGGAAUCAUUGGGUUUAAAGGGUCCGUAGGCGGGCCUAUAAGUCAGGGGUGA